GCUUGACUGUAGCUUGUAAUUGGGUUCGGGCUUUUUUUGCGCAGCCUAGGUGGAGGCAACGAUGAUUUUUUCCGGAAAAAUUUGAGCCAUUCGUGAGAGACCACUCUGAAAAGGCUAGAAUCCUAAUAAUGAUCCUUGAAUCAGGACAUUUGACAGUUGCAGGUGGGCAGUUUUACUGGGGCGGUAUUCUCCUAAAAAGUAACGGAGGGGUGCAAAGGUUCCCUCAGGCUGGACGGAAAUCAGCUUAAGAGUGUAAAGGCAAAAGGGAGCUUGACUGCAAGACCUACAAGUCGAGCAGGGGCGAAAGCCGGCCUUAGUGAUCCGACGGUACCACGUGGAAGGGCCGUCGCUCAACGGAUAAAAGUUACUC
rnacentral:rRNA from 1 species